rnacentral:tRNA from 1 species
GUUACUAUUUUGGCAGAGUAUAUGCGUAAGAUUUAGGAUCUUAUAAGAUAGAUUAGGUCUAUA